CAGUGGAAUGUUAAACGUCAAUUAUACUACUAUGACGGGAGUACAGCGAUUUUUCUUGCUAAGUUUAUAAUUAAUUUUGUUGAUAUUCUCUACCUGUCACCAUUCUCACUGACUCUGGCAAAGGCCCUAAAGGCUGCCAUUUCUCUAAUAUACUAUAUAUAUAUCAUGUGAUCAACAUGGAUCCCGAGAUCAUAGGUGACGCGGAAAGACAAUCCAUCAUUGAAAUCUUGGAAUUGUAUAAAGAUUUCCCGUGGUUAUGGGACUUAAUCCACGCCAAAUAUUUUGAUAAGGACGCUCGCUCGCAAUCAUUCGAAGUCCUUUUAGAGUGCUACCAAAAAUACUUUCCCAAUGCAACGGUCACCAGGAUAUCAGGAAAAAAAUUGAAUACUUAAGAUCAUGUUACCGGCGGGAGCGAAAAAAGGUGGAGUCCAGCAAGACUACAGGAGCUGGCUCAACGGAAAUAUACCAACCGAAUCUCUGGUACUACCCAUAUUUAAAUGUAUGAGUAUAUUCUGACCAUCCUAAGUUUUCAUUCCAAGUACUUAUCAAGUAUGGAUAGCUUAUAGGGAUGUGUAUGCAUUCUUAUUGCAACGUUUGUGCAUAGUUAGUGUGGUCAGAGUCUAUUCAGAGGCGAAUAAAAAAAAAGUCAAUUAAAGAUCUGUUUUUUAUAAAAUAGCCCCUUGAGAUGAUAUAUUAUGUUAGGUAUAUGGGACAGUAAGCUGCAAAGGCUACCUUUUCUCUGCAGCUUACUGUACUAUUUACACUUUUAAUUUUCAAGUCCAGUCAACCUAUUUGAUUUCGGUACCCCUUCAUAAUGUGGCAAGUUAUGAAGUGGCCCCGAAACCAAAUUGGUUGACUGCACAGUUUUCACAUUUUGUAACUAUUAUUUGGAAAGGGUCUAGUGAUCCUACAAAUGUUAGCCAGUUUAGUGAGUCAUGGGGAGUAUGUAUUUUUCUGACACUAAUAUUAUUGUUAUAAAUAAGUAUAAGUAACAUAUAUUUCUUCCCUUUAAUACUGCCAAAAUUGGUGUGACAGAGAGGUGACUGAUAAUAAAAUUAUUGUUAAUUAUUAUUAGGUAUUUAGUAUGAUUAUUCUAAUUAGGUGCCAUAAAAGCUGUGAUUCAUAAAUAAUAAUAAUUAGAUUAUUAAUA